rnacentral:rRNA from 1 species
GCGCGAAAACUUUACAAUGCACGAAAGUGUGAUAAGGGAAUCCUAAGUGCUCAGGCUUUGCCUGGGCUUUUGCCAUAUGUAAAUAGUAUGGCGAAUAAGUAGUGGGCAAGACUGGUGCCAGCCGCCGCGGUAACACCAGCGCUACGAGUGGCAAUCACGUUUAUUGGGCCUAAAGCGUCCGUAGCAGGUUUUGUAAAUUUCUUGUGAAACUGCCAAGCUUAACUUGGCAAUGUGCAGGAAACACUGCAAGAAUUGAGACAGGGAAGGGUCAGAAGUAUUCCUGAGGGAGCGGUAAAAUGCUAUAAUCUCAGGAGGACUACCGGUGGCGAAGGCGUCUGACUAGAACUGAUCUGACUGUGAGGGACGAAAGCUAGGGGAGCAAACCGG